CUUUAUAAAACAUAUUUUCCUUGUGUGAUCACUGAGCUUCUUGUUGCUUUAAUGUCCACAUUUGUCUCUGUUUAGUUUAUUUGCUCAGUACAAACACAACCCAUUGUAUAAGUGCACUACACUUUUGAAGAAUUAUGAAAAAUACUUCACGUGGAGACCAAAUACUUUUUUGUUAUUUAAACAUUUAGUAAGAUCAUGAUAACAGCAGUAUAGGUAUUACAAAACUAACAAUCUAGUUUCAAUACAAUCAGCAACUUAGCAAUAAAUGUUAAUGCCUCAAUAGAAACAAAUUAAUUGCAAACAAGCAUGGUCUAGGAUUUGGGGGCCAACACAAUCAGGGUGUAGUAAUGUAACAGUUCUGAGAAGUAACUUUCUACUUGACAAAUCUGGAAGUUCAAUAUCAUACAUAACUCUAUCCAAGGUUUAAGCCCAUAUUCUACGUUCUAAGGGAAUUGGCAAGGGCAUUGUUAUGGGAGGCUGACAGGAGGACUGAGAUGGAUCCUGAAAACCCAGGUCUAAUUUUGGCACUAUUCAUUUUAUCUUUAGACCCAGAAUCCCCUGUUAAAUUGAGAGAGAAGGAAAAAAAAAUACCACCAAUUAUAUAAUGUAAGUGCAACACUGAUGCACCAUCUUUGGACUUAACUAUACAGCACAAUGUUGGGAUAUUGCUGUGGGUGGAGGGUUUUAAUGUAGUGUAGUGAAUAGUUAAUACAGUAUGGAUUAAGGUUUAUCAAAGUUUAUAAAGAUAGGAUAAAAUAAUACUAUGAAUUCAAUAAUUGCAGGGUUAUUCUGUAAAGAGAACAUUGUCAGGAAUACAGGGUAAUUUCAAAGUAAAAUUAUAGUUUAAAAGGAACACUAUGGUGUUAGGAAACGCUCUCCUAAUGUUAUGGUCUUCUACUCCCGAUUUUAAUUCAUGGCGCCCAUGUAAGUAAUUUAAAAAAUGGGGGGGGGAAAGGGUUUUACUCACCAUUCUUUAUGUGCUGGGACCCACUCCGUGCAGCCACCUGCUUCUCCAAAAGUGACAUCAACCCUCAUACAAUUCAAUCCAAUUCAUGUUAAUUCAUUUAUAGAGAAAUAUAGGGGACAAGAAGUACUAAUCAAGCUUAAUGCUUCUCAUUAGGAAGCAUGGACUCCAAUGCUUCCCUAUGAUCAUUACUAGAGGAUAUUUGAGGUCCUCGUGCAAUGCGUAAGAAUGCUGAACAUUGCAUAACCGACUCUGACUACGUUAUACCACACACUAGUGUCUGUCAGGAAGAGGUGUGUUUUAGCACUGCAAUGCAUCUAUAAUAUGGCAAUAUUUUACAUUCAAGCAAGAGGAUCAGCGCUAAUCAAUAGAAAAAAGUUGCAGCAACCCAAAUUAAGGAAUUCCUCUCAAACCCUUAGUACACGGAGAAAGCAAAGAACACAGACAUUAGGGCUGCGUCUACAGUGUGUAAUAAAUAAUAAUAAAAAGUCCAGAUAAAAGAAGUCUUAAGUAAAAAAUACCCUUUUGUAUAAUGGGAAAUUCAAGUAGUCAGUGUCAAAGCAGAAAAAUCUGAUAGGAUCGAUGAUAAGAAUAAUAAAAAAAAAAUAAUAUAUAAAAUGAGUGAAAACACGUUUAUGAAUGUUAUUACUCUGCUUUUAUGUAAUUAAAUGAUGUUUUUGCUAAAACUCUACUUUGUAUUUUAUAAUAACUAUCCUUUAAAGCUACCUGGCAUUCUAUAUAAUUUUUUAAAAAUUUUCUUAUCAUUGCUCCUACCAACUCCAAAGAAAUAUUAGGUGGGGAUCAUUACCUUGUUGCCUCAUUCAUAGAGCAGUUGGUCAGCUCUACCUUUGUGAGUAUAUCUUGUUUUAUGCUACUUUUAGAAGUUUUUAUAACAUACCAUGAUAUCUGUUGCAUUUUAUCUUUACUUUUGGGUUUUCAGACUUUCCUUUUUUGAGGACACCCACACCAUAUCCUGUAAGUGGGGAUUAUACCACUGAACGCUAUUUAUACUUGAGCUGGCUAUAGCUCCAUCAAAUGUGAUUACCUCAUCGCUAUUUUGUUACUACCUCCACUCUGUACGUAUUGACAUAUUGCACUAUUGGUGUCUCUCCCGCUUUUGUCUUUUUAUAUUAUAUGUGGAUUUCAUCACAGAACGUUGAAUACCUUCUAGACAAGACUUUUCUGCUUUGACCCUCUGACUACUUGACCAUUAUACAAGAGGGUAUUCUUUACUUAAGACUUCUUUUAUCUGGACUUUGUAUUGUUGUUUGUUAUACACUGUAGCAAAGCCCUUAUUCCGGUGUUCUUUGAUUUCUCAAUAUUUUACAUUGCAGGACAAAAAAAUGGCAGGGCACUGUACCCAGACCACUUCAUCUCAAUGAAGUAGUUUUGGAGCCUAUAAAAGUCCUUUAACAUCAAAGAAGCCAAACUGGAAGAAUAGCUGAGGUGGAUAAUUUUUCUAGUUCAGAUAUGUUGGACUUAAUCUAUUUGCUUUUAAUUUCUAACAAUUCUCACUUUUGUGAAUAACUCGGUUGAUGUGAUUUAUAAAACAGAUUAUGAUUUAACGGUUUACUUAGAGCAUGGCUUACGGCUGGCAUUAGCAGAAUCUUAAGUAAAUAUAUGUUAGAGGGAGCUUACAAUUUACUCUUGGAUUAUAUCCCCUGCUAUUUUUGUCUCCUAGCAACACUCUUGGGAAAGGGCAAUGAAACUGGUUCUACGAUCCCUAAAUAGAGGUUCUACAGCAAUAUCCUACCAUUCAUGAUGAUAAUACAAUUCAAGGUAACACAUGUAAGAAGAUGUAAUCUGUUGUUCUACUGUGCAUUGUGUAAAUUCUGAUUUAACUUGUUCUUUCUAUAGUAUAUAGCAGAGGUAAGAAACAAUUAGCAUUCCAGAUGUUGUGGACUACAUCUCCCAUAACCAUAAUGCUGGCAAAGGAUCAGGGUACAUAUAGUCCACAUCUGGAGUGCCGAAGGUAGCCUAUACCUGGUAUUUAGUAUUAAGUAUAAAAUCAUCAAUGGUGGUGAAGUACUUUCACAGAUGACAUUCAGAUUUUUUAGUAGAACUGAUGGUGGUGUACCAGAAGGUCACAAAAAUAAUACCCAAAGUAGUACAGGUACUAGAGAAACUGUAGCCUGCACUGUAAUAUUCAAAUAAAUAUUAUCAAAUAAUAAAUGUUAGCACCAAAAUUAGCAUUCAAAGUAAUGGAGUAUUGCAAUUUGUGCAUCUACAUUACUGGACUAAUAUGACAACUCAAAAACAAAAACAAAAAAGGUGAAGCGCUACAUACAGAUGCAAGAGUUAGUUGAACCAGUCCAAGGAGUGCUUUUCCCAGUAAUAACUGCAGGAUGCAUAUAUUUUAUCUGGGGUAUGCCUACAAAAUGAAUUACAAACUCCAAUAGUGUGAUACUGUAGUAAAUUAAAUAUUAUUAUAUUUGUUUUUGAAAAUACACUCACAUUCUCCUGAGCUAUACGCCAAGCUCAGGGAUAAACGCAUGCAGGCCCGUAAAAGCGACCUGUGUGAUAAAUUCUAGGACUCAAACAGAAACAAAUAUAUGGUGCAGUAUAUCCAAUAACCAGUGAUCCAAUAUAAAGUAGUAAACAAUGUACUCACAAAGGUGGAGCCUCUAUAUCGGCUCUGUCACAGCACGUUGUGUAGUUGAGGACUACACUCCUGUAUGCAGGAACCAACAGCCCAAAUAGGUGAAUGUAAAAAGCUGUAUUAGGGAUCUUACAUUAAAAUUCUAAUGGCCAAUUAGAAAAUAAAAUCAAAAAAGGACAAUAUCCCUUAAAGGGAUUGAAAACACAAGUAUAAUAUAUCAAAUAUGGGCAUGUAGGUAAUCAUAAAAAAUUCCCAAAUUCUGUCAACGUGCUGUGACAUAGCCAAUAUAGAGGCUCCACCUUUGUAAGUACAUUGUUUACUACUUUAUAUUGGAUUACUGGUUAUUGGAUAUACUGCACCAUAUAUUCAUUUAUGUUUGAGUCCUAGAAUUUAUAACACAGGACCACCCAACCAGAAGAAGGGGAAGGUCGCCUUCACGGACCUGCAUGUGCUUAUCCCUGAGCUUAGUGUAUAGCUCAGGAGAAUGUGAGUGUAUUUUCAAAAACAAAUAUAAUAAUAUUUAAUUUACUACAGUAUCACACUAUUGGAGUUUGUAAUUCAUUUUGUAGGCAUACCCAGAUAAAAUAUAUCCAUCCUGCAGUUAUUACUGGGAAAAGCACUCCUUGGACUGGUUCAACUAACUCUCGCAUCUGUAUGUAGCGCUACACCUUUUUUGUUUUUGUGUUUUACAUGAAUUGGUGUAAAAAGAAAGAUUACAUCUUGGUGUUAUAGCAGCUAUUACUUUAAAAUUGAUAUACAUCUGUAAUAUUAACUUAUAAAACCUAUAUAGAUUUAGCGCCAGCAUAUAUUCUUCAUUUUCUAAUAUGACAACUCAACUAUUAUAAUUCACUUAACACAUUUAAGUUUAACACAUUUAAGUUAAAUCUGUGGACUGGAAUUAUGCACUGUUGUUGAUUUGUUACGUAACACUUUCUUGAAUCAUAAACAAAAUACUGGUUUCAAUACAGAAGGUAAAAAAUUUAUGAUUUUUCUGCAGAUCAUUUCAACCAUUCUCACGGGGCCAUUUGCUAAUGUCCAACAGGAUUAUUCACUAAAGUGAAAAUUCAGUGUGAUUUAAAAUUGAACUUCAAAUUUUAGGCCGGAGUAGCUGCAUUGAUAGCAGAACUGAAGUAGAGAGUCUUUCCAGUUCAUUUAUUUUGACUUUUAAAUUUGAAAUUCACCUUGAAUUCUCACUUUAUUGAAUAAUGUAGCAAAUGUUAAAAAAUUCAAUCCAAAUAAAAAAAAAAUGAGGCAAAAAUAGCACAAGAUUCUCAGUUAUGCCUUUGGAUAUAAGUCAAGAAAAUGUAGAGUUUAUUGAAUAAUCCUCUCAGUCUUUGUUGACAUCAUACAGAUUUAAAAAAAUUGUUUCUCAUUGGUAGCAUUUUAAAAGCUUACAUUCUUCAUAGAUGGUGAUGGCUGUGGCCACCAACUGUGACAACAGGGCAGAGGACAACAUCUCAAGGAUCAAAGCUUAAUACUGGAACAGAAGAAAAGUUAUUCUAUGAAUCAAGUUCAGAUAAAGAUGCCUCUGUUGAUUGAUUCUUGGUAGAGAGAUGGCUUCACAGCUGAACAGAUUAUUUUCCCCUUGUUAUCUCCUUUUUUUUAACAAAGUUCUCUGUUUCAAACUUCUGUAGAAACAAACAAAAAACAUACAUUUGCUUGAAUCAUUCAAAAGGUCAAAAUAGUCACAUCACAUGGAUGUUUUAAGAAACACAAUUUGUAAUAGAGUUUAAUAGAGUCUUAUUUUUAGGGAUUUAUUGUGAAGUGCAUUCUUUGUGAAUAAGGAAGCAUGCCUAGAUUAAUCUAGUUGCAUUUGAAAAGCAGCCAAUGUGGAUAAAAAUAUCUGUUACCAGUUUGAAAAGUAAAAGUUUUCUGAGUUGAUUCAUAUAUACAAAUUUUUUUUACAUUUUUAACAUGUACACCAUAAUGAAAU
rnacentral:lncRNA from 1 species